CAGCUGAGAAAGUCAAGUUCUUCCACAGAAAGGAAAGGGUCCUGUGAACGUUGUCUGCACACCCCUUGCUCUUGCUGUCCUCUCUGCCUAGAAGCUCCUGGCAGGACAUCUCUUGCUGUGCCUCCUUUAAUUCCCUGGUCAACAGUCACAACUCCUAUCUCAUCUGCUAGCAUUUUCUGCCUUUUUUCAGUUACCCAUGGUCAACUGUGGUCCAAAAAUAUUAACUGGAAAAUUCCAGAAAGAAACAAUUUGUAACUUUGACAUUGUACUGUUCUCAGUAGUGUGUUGUAAGUCACUCAGCAGCCACCUCAGUUAACAGACUGUCACUGUGCUUGUGCUCAAGUCACCCUUAUUUUAAUAAUAACUCUAAAGCAAAGAGGGAUGGUGCCAGAAAUGUAGAUAUGCACAAGAGAAGUUGCAAAGGGUGUAAGUGAAAAGGAUCUGAAUAAAGAAGGAAAAAAAAGUCAUAUGCGGAGGAUGCCAAGAUCUACGUGAAGAAUGAAUAGGUUCAGUACUAUCCUUUGAGGGUCUUGAACAUAUACCCCCUGCAGGUUCAGACACCUACCUGUAGAGUACAUCCAAACACGCCGAUCAUCAGCAUGGCCACCGAGAGGUAAUCGGUAAACACAUCCCACCACGGCUUCAGCACCCGGAAGGCAGGCUGCUGCUCAGAGAACUGCCGGAAUUCUGUC